rnacentral:lncRNA from 1 species
CGUUGAAUGAGACUGAAGAGACAGGAUAUGGUGGCAGUCAAAUAUGUGAGGGGCAUGGUUGACCCAAGGCCCUGAGGACCUACCACGACCUUCAUUACAAGGCUACAUUUCCCCUUGGCUCCUCCUGGACAAUGUCUGAGUGGUUAUAUAGGAGAGGGUCGUUUUUUCAAGAACACACACAAAGGAGUUAAGGAGAAGGAAGCACCAUGUGGACAGCCUGCACUCACACGGUUCAGAAAAAACAGUAAUGACCAUGGGAACAUGAAGAGACAAAGUGAUGAGAACAAAUGCAGUGAAAUGUUGGCUGAGAACCUGAAUGAAAAGGGUUAUGUUCCUGAAACGUUUAAAUUUAACAUCAGGCCAGGUGCAGUGGCUCAUGCUUAUAACCCCAGUGCUUUGGGAGGCCAAGGUGGGAGGAUCACUUAAGCCCAGGAGUUCAAGGCCAGCCUGGGCAACGUAGGAAGACCCCAUCUCCACACACAGAAAAUUUUUAAUUAGCCAGGCAUUGUGGCAUCUAGCUACUCCAGAGGCUGAGGCGGGAGAAUCACUUGAGCCCAGGAGUUGGAGCUUAGAGUGAGCUAUGAUUGCAGCACCACACUCCAGCUUAGGUGAUGCAGCAGGACUCCAUCUCUAAAAAAUAAAUAAAUAAAUUUGAAAUCAUUUCAAAGUAAGUUAUUAAUUAAAAAUGUUCCAAGAGUAUAAUGAAUUUCUCUUAAAAUAACAGGACAUCCACAUAUCUAUGGGAAUGAAUUUUUUUUUCCAUAAGAUCUUCAGCGUUGGUGAGGGAAAGCUCAAAUGCUGGGUAUGGAGACAAACAAGCAUAAGAGAAAGAUUUGUCCUAAGUCAGAAGAAUCACAACUUUUUAAAUUCUCAUGGUCAGACUGUUUUUAUCUUCUUCCCCCUGCAGAGGAAAUCAGGUUAUAGUGACUUAGUUCUAGAAGUGAAAUUACAAAAUGUCCAGAGGAAAAACCAAAAUCAAAAUUCUCAUCAGCUUUUUUGGAAUGUAGAUGACUAUCUGAAUGGUGAUGCUGCUAUCAAACACAAAUCAAAAGUAAGAUAAAUGACAGCAGCCCUUCCUCUACCUCCAGAAACUGUAUUUAGAGUUGGAGCCAGCAGAUAGGAGAAAGACUGGAAAUACUACAGCCAAAAAGGCCUUUCUCAUGGAUACUUAAACAGGAAAUGCCAGCAGCAAAAACACCAACCCCUGAUGACCUUUCCACUAAAAUGUGAAAGAAUUGCAAGAUCUGACUGCAUUUUUAUGAGCCUAGUAAGGAACACAGUUCUAUUCAUGCAGUAAAGAUGAACUCAUCUAUUGCUGAAAUGCAUGCCAUUUGACCAUAAAAAAAAAUGCGUGGCCUGGCACAGUGGCUCACACCCCAGUGCUUUGGGAGGCUGAGGCGGGUGGAUCAUGAGGUCAGGAGUUCAAGACCAGCCUGGCCAACAUGGUGAAACCCCAUCUUGACUAAAAAUACAAAAAUUAGCCAGGCAUGGUGGCACACACCUGUAAUCCCAGCUACUCGGGAGGCUGAGGGUUAGACUUGUCUGGCUUGAAAAGCAUAUUAUGAUAUAAGUCAAGUGCAGGGACAGACUACAUGCUCAUCAUCAGAAUCUCUGUAUUUUUUUUCAAGACCAGCCUGGCCAACAUGGUGAAACCCUG